rnacentral:rRNA from 1 species
UACGUAGGGGGCAAGCGUUGUCCGGAAUCAUUGGGCGUAAAGAGCGCGUAGGCGGCCCUGUAAGUCCGCUGUGAAAGUCAAGGGCUCAACCCUUGAAUGCCGGUGGAUACUGCAGGGCUAGAGUCCGGAAGAGGCGAGUGGAAUUCCUGGUGUAGCGGUGAAAUGCGCAGAUAUCAGGAGGAACACCGAUGGCGAAGGCAGCUCGCUGGGACGGUACUGACGCUGAGGCGCGAAAGCUAGGGGAGCAAACAGG